rnacentral:rRNA from 1 species
UACGAAGGGGGCUAGCGUUGCUCGGAUUGACUGGGCGUAAAGGGCGCGUAGGCGGCGCACCAAGUCGGGCGUGAAAGCCCUGGGCUCAACCCGGGAAUUGCGCUUGAGACUGGUGUGCUUGAGUACGGGAGAGGAUAGUGGAAUUCCCAGUGUAGAGGUGAAAUUCGUAGAUAUUGGGAAGAACACCGGUGGCGAAGGCGGCUAUCUGGACCGUAACUGACGCUGAGGCGCGAAAGCGUGGGGAGCGAACAGG